ensembl:lncRNA
CCAUAGUUUCAGCAGCGAUGACAUCACUAGAGACACGAGCUCUCCUGAUUGGUCCGUUCAGUGUCCCUCAGCAGGUGCGUCAGGUUAUUUCUCGUCUGUAAAUGAUGCUCAUGAGUCUCUUCAUGAUUUUAUCUUGUGCUUCUUUCUAUCAGAAUCUCCAGAGACGCUGAGACUCAGCUCUUCAUCAGGCUGUUCGAUGUCUCCCUCUCCUCCACCCAGAGCAGCAGCAGCGCCCCCUGCUGGCCGGAGGAUCACGCAGCUCCGCACUCGGAGGCUCAGAGCUCAUGAUGCAGACGUCAGUAAAGCGAGAGCAUCAGAGGAGACUCAUGGGACUGAGAGCACCAUGACUGUGUGUCCUCAAAUCAUCCACAAACCUCACAGACCCUCCACCAGUCCUCUAAGAGCACAACGGUCAGAAGCUACUGAGGAUCAUCAACACUCAGACACCCAACAUAAACCAGUAAUAGUCUCUGAAAAACUAAUGCCCAGACGCCCACAAACAGCCAGAGCUGCACUGCAGAGACUUCCAGACCGGAAACACUCGCCUGAAGUGAUGCAUUGUGGGUCAGAUUAGAUCAUACAUCUUCACUGCAGGUCCACACACUUUCAGAAACACUUUAAAGUUGUCACUGAAUCACUAGGGGGCGCUGUUUGUCUCUGCUUUAUUUCAGAAGUAUUUCAGGUUUGAUUGACAGGAGAGUCUCAGCACAGAUAUCAUGUGAUCACUGACAGACUGCAGAUCUGUUGGAGCAUGAUGUCAGGUGACUGUGAUUGUGAACUCUGAUCUCCAGCAGCACAGCUUCAUCUCUGGUGGAUCGCUAGCAUGUCUGCUCUUGUAGGUUCAGUGUUUGCAGACGCAGGUGCAGGACUGUUAUUCCACGCGUCUCUGAAUGAUUUUCCACAGAUGACACACAGAUAACAGUGUUGUUCUGACAAACACCGCAUCAUUUAUCCGGCCACAGUCUCCACAGGCUCCGAGUCUUUUAACC